rnacentral:misc_RNA from 1 species
GCGCUAACCCGCAAGGGAAGGCAGCCGGCCACGGUAGGGUCAGCGACUGGGGUGAAGUCGUAACAAGGUAGCCGUAGGGGAACCUGCGGCUGGAUCACCUCCUUUCUAAGGAUGGUUCUUCAGAAGCUUGCUUCUAUCGAACCGUUUUAGAAACAUCAGUGGCCAACAGAUCGCCAGAUCGUUGAGCUGCAUUGGCGGGAUUUCGCCGUCUUCGUUUCUCUUUCUUCGCGGACGACACGCGCUGGGGCUGCAGGCUUGCAGAUCCCUGGUCCUUGACUGGAUAUGCGUUAGGGGCUUGUAGCUCAGUUGGUUAGAGCGCGCGCUUGAUAAGCGUGAGGUCGGAAGUUCAAGUCUUCCCAGGCCCACCACUUUCAUCGAGUGUGCAUUCGUCUUCUGGUUACGGGGCCAUAGCUCAGCUGGGAGAGCGCGUGCUUUGCAAGCAUGAGGUCGUCGGUUCGAUCCCGUCUGGCUCCACCAGAUGGUUUGAUCACCGAGAUCUCGUACCGUCGUCCGCGAAACAUCACUUCGCACUUGCUAGUCCGGAUGGACAGCAGGCUGCGUGAUUUCUGACAUCGUAAAGAGGAGAUCGAUCCGAGUUGGAUCGUGCGGAGAAUAUCCGCGCGAGACUUCAUUAUCUCCGGAUCAUUUCGGCGCUCGCGCGCCUUUCAGUGUGGCUCACAAGGCUGCGCCUGAAGGACAUGCGAGUUGUGAAUGAUCCUUUUAGCGAACCUUGACCGCCUCGCUAUCGGAACGAUCUUACGAAGCAAGCUGGUCUUUCUAGUCAAUGUCCGGCUGUACGUAGCGUUCAUCGAGGGCGCGUGCCUUAGAGACUUCGGUCUCCUGGCAGUCGUACAGACAACAUUCUGCCGAGUGUGUGGACAUUGAUAAUGAGAGCAAUCAAGUGCCUUAAGGGUGUUCGGUGGAUGCCUUGGCGCUGAGAGGGCGUGAGGACGUGCUACGCUGCGAUAAGCCGUGGGGAGCUGCGAAGAAGCUUUGAUCCGCGGAUUUCCGAAUGGGGAAACCCACCUUCGAUAGCCGGAACUCCAAGACCUUAGGUUUUGGGGUUUGACCAGAAAUGAUCGGGACCAUGACCGCAAGGUUUUGGAUUUCCGGUUAUCAAGAGAAGGUAUG